GUGAUGGGUCUAGCGAAUGGUGAGGUCGACUGGUAGCCUGCGUUGGAGUCCCUUGUGAGAGAGAAGAAGGACUGCUAGUCUUUCGCUGUCUGUGUUCGUCAGGUUUGGCGAAAAACGUUUCUCUAGAUGGCUGGCAAAGGCUUCCAUUUUGCUCUCAGCUGUCUUAGUCCAUUGAAUAGAAGCUGAUGGGCUAUCCUGGAUUUUAAGCGGCCAGUUUGGGCAGUUUCAUCAUUUUUCUGUUAACGGGCACUAUUCCUCCAAUUUUGUAUGUGU